rnacentral:rRNA from 1 species
UUCGCCCUUAGAGUUUGAUCCUGGCUCAGGACGAACGUUGGCGGCGUGCCUAACACAUGCAAGUCGAGCGAAGUACUUGUAACAGAUUCCUUCGGGAAAAAGAUACAAGUAUCUUAGCGGCGAACGGGUGAGUAACGCGUGAGUAACCCGCCUUUCACAAAGGGAUAGCCUCGGGAAACUGGGAUUAAUACCUUAUGAAACUGUAGUAUCGCAUGAUACAUCAGUCAAAGAUUUAUCGGUGAAAGAUGGUCUCGCGUCCCAUUAGCUAGUUGGUGAGAUAAAAGCUCACCGAGGCGACGAUGGGUAGCCGGCCUGAGAGGGUGAACGGCCACACUGGAACUGAGACACGGUCCAGACUCCUACGGGAGGCAGCAGUGGGGAAUAUUGCACAAUGGAGGAAACUCUGAUGCAGCGACGCCGCGUGAACGAUGAAGGCCUUCGGGUCGUAAAGUUUUGUCCUUGGGGAAGAUAAUGACGGUACCCGAGGAGGAAGCCCCGGCUAACUACGUGCCAGCAGCCGCGGUAAUACGUAGGGGGCGAGCGUUGUCCGGAUUUAUUGGGCGUAAAGGGUUCGCAGGCGGCCUAUUAAGUCAGAUGUGAAAGGUAAGGGCUUAACCCUUGCAAGCAUUUGAAACUUUUAGGCUUGAGUUAAGGAGAGGAAAGUGGAAUUCCUAGUGUAGCGGUGAAAUGCGUAGAUAUUAGGAGGAAUACCAGUGGCGAAGGCGACUUUCUGGACUUAUACUGACGCUGAGGAACGAAAGCGUGGGGAGCAAACAGGAUUAGAUACCCUGGAAGUCCACGCCGUAAACGAUGAUUACUGGGUGUAGGGGGUAUCGACUCCCUCUGUGCCGAAGCUAACGCGAUAAGUAAUCCACCUGGGGAGUACGGCCGCAAGGCUAAAACUCAAAGGAAUUGACGGGGGCCCGCACAAGCAGUGGAGUAUGUGGUUUAAUUCGAGGCAACGCGAAGAACCUUACCAGGGUUUGACAUCCCGCGCAAUGGGUAGAGAUACCCGGUUCCCUUCGGGGACGCGGAGACAGGUGGUGCAUGGUUGUCGUCAGCUCGUGUCGUGAGAUGUUCGGUUAAGUCCGGCAACGAGCGCAACCCUCGUGGCCAGUUGCCAUCAUUCAGUUGGGCACUUUGGCAAGACUGCCGUUGACAAAACGGAGGAAGGUGGGGAUGACGUCAAAUCAUCAUGCCCCUUAUGUCCUGGGCUACACACGUACUACAAUGGGCGCUACAACGGGCAGCCACACCGCGAGGUGGAGCGAAUCCCCAAAGGCGUCCCCAGUUCGGAUUGCAGGCUGCAACUCGCCUGCAUGAAGCCGGAAUUGCUAGUAAUGGCAGGUCAGCAUACUGCCGUGAAUACGUUCCCGGGCCUUGUACUAAGCGCCCGUCA